rnacentral:rRNA from 1 species
UACGAAGGGGCUAGCGUUGCUCGGAAUCACUGGGCGUAAAGCGCACGUAGGCGGAUUGUUAAGUCAGGGGUGAAAUCCUGGAGCUCAACUCCAGAACUGCCUUUGAUACUGGCGAUCUCGAGUCCGGGAGAGGUGAGUGGAACUGCGAGUGUAGAGGUGAAAUUCGUAGAUAUUCGCAAGAACACCAGUGGCGAAGGCGGCUCACUGGCCCGGUACUGACGCUGAGGUGCGAAAGCGUGGGGAG